AGAUCAUGCAUAAACCUAAGCGUUUCACUGGAAGUAAAACGCGAGUUUAUCGCUUCCUUACAGAGAUGGAACCAAGGACAGCAAAUGCUGACGAGGAGAAGAGACGGACGAGCGUUUGCUUGCGGUUAAUACCGAAGGGACGGGAUGAAACAAGGAAGCCAGAAUGCAGCGGCCCCUCGAUAUCACCAGGAACUGCUACAGGAGGAGGCGUUCUGGCACGGGUAACUAGGGUAAGUAUGGCUAAUGACCGUUAGCAGUUAUUUUGGCCUCCCCGAGGCAGCGCUGAGGACUAAGUAACCUGAGGGGCUCUGGCCUGGGUUGGGGCAGAAGUGCAGGCAGGCGGGAUCAGGCAUUUUCCUCUCAGCUCUCCGAGCUGAAUCCUAGCCCUGAAGGAAAAAGCACUGGGGGGAGGCUACUCGGACACCUGCCAUGUCGAGGGCAGGGGCAGGAGCUGACCCUUCCCCGACGGACGGACGUACGGACAGACGCUGGUGCGGCGGUGACUCUUUGGAUAUCGUAGGGCAGGAAGUGUUUUCCAUCUCCGAUGGUGUUGCAAGACAACCUUGGAAGCUCAGAAAGUGUUCCUGCUGUUUAAACUAGGCAGAUGAGGAGGUACCCCCCCCCCCCCAUUUCCUGGGAGGAAAUAAUUCUUUAAUCAAGGCCAUGCUAGAAGUGCUAAAGCCUUAAAGAAAUAGUAAAUCAAAAUGUUUUGUUUUCUAUGUAGAUGUUGCCAAUUUAGCAAAGGAAUUUGAGGUAUCCCCGAACUGAACUGUCCUCAUUAUAAUACAAGAAAAUCACGCCCAUAGGUCAGAAAGACCUGUGCCCGGGUGAAGACCCCUCCCCUGAGCAUGCGUAGUUUUAAAAUGGUGUGUAAGCAAUAUUAGAAUUGUAUGUAAAUCACUAACCAACCGGUGUAAGAGGGAAAGUUGCAAACCUUGCAACUUGUAUAAAUGCUACUUGGAAAGCCGGGGCGGGGGGGGGAAGUUGCGCUUGAUUUGUGGGGAAAACACCGAGCAGCCAGGCUUGCACAACUCUGAAAUAAAUAAGCAAAUGUCUCUCC